GACGUAGGGUCCAAGCGUUGUCCGGAUUUACUGGGCGUAAAGAGCGCGUAGGCGGUCCGUUAAGUGUAGAGUGAAAGCUCCGGGCUCAACUCGGAAAUUGCUCUGCAUACUGGCGGACUCGAGGACGGAAGAGGUUUGUGGAAUUCCUGGUGUAGCGGUGAAAUGCGUAGAUAUCAGGAAGAACACCCGUGGCGAAAGCGGCUCUCUGGAACGGUACUGACGCUGAGACGCGAAAGCGUGGGGAGCGAACAGG
rnacentral:rRNA from 1 species